rnacentral:misc_RNA from 1 species
UCUCUGUAGUGCUGCGCACUCCCCCUUCCUGUCACUCUGCUGGGGUUAAGGACCCAAGCGCCUGCGUGAGCGGGCAGCACCUUACCAAUUGCAUAUGAGCAAGCGUGGAAACGCGAGAACAUCAAUUUCUCUGUAGCACAAGUU